rnacentral:lncRNA from 1 species
AUACAAACUACAUAUACAUAUUGGUGGGAAGGGGGAAUAUUUAGUAUUUAUGUGGAAGAGAAUACCAUCAAUUUGUUCUACUAGUGAAUAGUUAGAAAACCUACAGUUCAAACCCCACCCAGAGAGAGAGAGAGAAACUUCUGGCUUGUCAAUUCAAUAUACCCCACUCAAGAAAGUGCCCUAUCUAUUAAUGAUCCAUCUGCUAUGGCAUAUGCAUCAUCGAAAACAAAAUUUUUGCAGAGUCUAGAAAUGGAAGAAGUUAGAUAAAUUGUAUGAAGAUUAUCCACCAGAUGCAUACCUCUUGAAUAUCAUU